UACGGAGGGAGCUAGCGUUGUUCGGAAUUACUGGGCGUAAAGCGCACGUAGGCGGCUACUCCAGUCAGAGGUGAAAGCCCGGGGCUCAACCCCGGAACUGCCUUUGAAACUAGGUAGCUAGAAUCUUGGAGAGGCGAGUGGAAUUCCGAGUGUAGAGGUGAAAUUCGUAGAUAUUCGGAAGAACACCAGUGGCGAAGGCGACUCGCUGGACAAGUAUUGACGCUGAGGUGCGAAAGCGUGGGGAGCAAACAGG
rnacentral:rRNA from 1 species